rnacentral:tRNA from 1 species
GGAGAGAUGACGUUGGUGGUAGCCGUAGCGAUUUGCUAGACCGCCGGGAAAUUCCCUUGCAGGUUCAAAUCCUGUUCUCUCCGCCA